CGAAAACGAAUUCUCUCUUGAGUGGAUCCUGAGUACGACGGAGCACGUGAAAUUCCGUCGGAAUCUGGGAGGACCAUCUCCUAAGGCUAAAUACUCUCUAGUGACCGAUAGUGAACCAGUACCGUGAGGGAAAGGUGAAAAGUACCCCGGAAGGGGAGUGAAAGAGAACUUGAAACCGUGUGCUUACAAGUAGUCAGAGCCCGUUAAUGGGUGAUGGCGUGCCUUUUGUAGAAUGAACCGGCGAGUUACGAUCUGAUGCAAGGUUAAGCAGAAAAUGUGGAGCCGUAGCGAAAGCGAGUCUGAAUAGGGCGAAUGAGUAUUUGGUCGUAGACCCGAAACCAGGUGAUCUACCCUUGGUCAGGUUGAAGUUCAGGUAACACUGAAUGGAGGACCGAACCGACUUACGUUGAAAAGUGAGCGGAUGAACUGAGGGUAGCGGAGAAAUUCCAAUCGAACUUGGAGAUAGCUGGUUCUCUCCGAAAUAGCUUUAGGGCUAGCCUCAAGUGAUGAUUAUUGGAGGUAGAGCACUGUUUGGACGAGGGGCCCCUCUCGGGUUACCGAAUUCAGACAAACUCCGAAUGCCAAAUAAUUUAACUUGGGAGUCAGAAUGUGGGUGAUAAGGUCCAUAUUCGAAAGGGAAACAGCCCAGACCACCAGCUAAGGUCCCAAAAUAUAUGUUAAGUGGAAAAGGAUGUGGCGUUGCCCAGACAACUAGGAUGUUGGCUUAGAAGCAGCCAUCAUUUAAAGAGUGCGUAAUAGCUCACUAGUCGAGUGACACUGCGCCGAAAAUGUACCGGGG
rnacentral:rRNA from 1 species